AUUGAACGCUGGCGGCAAGCCUAACACAUGCAAGUCGUGCGGUAACAUAAUAAUAGAAAUAUUUUUGAUGACGAGCGGCGGACGGGUGAGUAAUAUCUGGGAAUCUGCCUAAUGGAGGGGGAUAACUAUUGGAAACGAUAGCUAAUACCGCGUAAUGUCAUAAAAGACCAAAGGGGGGGACUAAACUAAUAUUUUAGCCUCUCACCAUUAGAUGAGCCCAGACGAGAUUAGCUAGUAGGUAAGGUAAUGGCUUACCUAGGCAACGAUCUCUAGCUGGUCUGAGAGGAUGGCCAGCCACACUGGAACUGAGACACGGUCCAGACUCCUACGGGAGGCAGCAGUGGGGAAUAUUGCACAAUGGGCGGAAGCCUGAUGCAGCUAUGCCGCGUGUAUGAAGAAGGCCUUAGGGUUGUAAAGUACUUUCAGUAAAAAAGAAUUACCAAUAUCUAAUAUAUGUUGUUAUUGACGUUAUUUACAAAAGAAGCACCGGCUAACUCCGUGCCAGCAGCCGCGGUAAUACGGAGGGUGCGAGCGUUAAUCGGAAUUACUGGGCGUAAAGAGCACGUAGGCGGUUAAUUAAGUCAGAUGUGAAAUCCCUGAGCUUAACUUAGGAACUGCAUUUGAAACUAAUUUACUAGAGUCUCAUAGAGGGGGGUAGAAUUCCAGGUGUAGUGGUGAAAUGCGUAGAUAUCUGGAGGAAUACCAGUGGCGAAGGCGGCCCCCUGGAUGAAAACUGACGCUAAGGUGCGAAAGCUUGGGGAGCAAACAGGAUUAGAUACCCUGGUAGUCCAUGCCGUAAACGAUGUCGAUUUGAAAGUUGUAUCAUUAUUAAGAUAUGACUUUCGUAGCUAACGCGUUAAAUCGACCGCCUGGGGAGUACGACCGCAAGGUUAAAACUCAAAUGAAUUGACGAGGGCCCGCACAAGCGGUGGAGCAUGUGGUUUAAUUCGAUGCAACGCGAAAAACCUUACCUACUCUUGACAUCCAGUAAAUUUUAUAGAAAUAUAAAAGUGCUUUCGAGAAUACUGAGACAGGUGCUGCAUGGCUGUCGUCAGCUCGUGUUGUGAAAUGUUGGGUUAAGUCCCGCAACGAGCGCAACCCUUAUCCUUCGUUACCAACGGUUAGGCCGGGGACUCAAAGGAGACUGCCAGUGAUAAACUGGAGGAAGGUGAGGACGACGUCAAGUCAUCAUGGCCCUUAUGAGUAGGGCUACACACGUGCUACAAUGGUAUAUACAAAGAGAUGCAACCUUGUAAAAGUGAGCUAAACUCACAAAGUAUAUCUAAGUCCGGAUUGGAGUCUGCAACUCGACUCCAUGAAGUCGGAAUCGCUAGUAAUCGUAGAUCAGAACGCUACGGUGAAUACGUUCUCGGGCCUUGUACACACCGCCCGUCACACCAUGGGAGUGGGUUGCAAAAGAAGUAUGUAGUUUAACUAUUUUAUAUAGAGGACGCUUACCACUUUGUGAUUCAUGACUGGGGUG
rnacentral:rRNA from 1 species